GAGUUUGAUCCUGGCUCAGAUUGAACGCUGGCGGCAGGCCUAACACAUGCAAGUCGAGCGGAAACGAGUUAACUGAACCUUCGGGGAACGUUAACGGCGUCGAGCGGCGGACGGGUGAGUAAUGCCUGGGAAAUUGCCCUGAUGUGGGGGAUAACCAUUGGAAACGAUGGCUAAUACCGCAUAAUAGCUUCGGCUCAAAGAGGGGGACCUUCGGGCCUCUCGCGUCAGGAUAUGCCCAGGUGGGAUUAGCUAGUUGGUGAGGUAAUGGCUCACCAAGGCGACGAUCCCUAGCUGGUCUGAGAGGAUGAUCAGCCACACUGGAACUGAGACACGGUCCAGACUCCUACGGGAGGCAGCAGUGGGGAAUAUUGCACAAUGGGCGCAAGCCUGAUGCAGCCAUGCCGCGUGUAUGAAGAAGGCCUUCGGGUUGUAAAGUACUUUCAGCAGUGAGGAAGGAGGAUAGGUUAAUAAUGUAAUCAUUUGGCCUUCGCUACGCCAGAA
rnacentral:rRNA from 1 species